rnacentral:misc_RNA from 1 species
AAGUCGUAACAAGGUUUCCGUAGGUGGACCUGUUGAAGAAGGAUCAUUAACACGUAUCCAACGUUAAACCCCCUGUGAACCUUUAUUGUGGCACGCAAUCCCUGGUAAAUCAUCGCCGAACAGUUUUGAUUCAGGGACUUCUGCAUGGGUAGGACAACUGCGCGAGCAAGUGGCCUGGCAUCCCUCUGCUUGUUAGUGUCUGAAAGUGUCACUAGCUCUGUACGGGUGGCGCAAUCACGAUCGCUAGAGGCCAACACGGCCGGCGACCGGGUCAAUGGGCCCUCGGCCCCCUAAUCACCUUUGCAUGAAAACGGGCCUGCGCUUAAUUGUGCGGCCACCAAACUCGAACAACUGUUAACAAUGGAUAUCUUGGUUCUC